rnacentral:ribozyme from 12 species
UAAACACAACAGCAACAACAAACUAACAGAAAAAAACGAAAGAAAAAAGUAAUAUGGGACUAUUUGGGAUGUUUCGUAUAUUUUUAUCAUACAACUUUUGUUUCUCUCGUUGUUGUUGUUGUUCAAAGAAUA